GGUAACCCGAUCAAUUCGACUCCCAAAAAAAAUAUUCAAAUGAAAUGCCUUCACAAAAAACUCUGAAAAUGGAAAUCUAUUAAUCGAUCGAUUGUUUCUAAGUUUGAAGGAGCAAAUUUGGUAAAAAAGCGAUUGCAACUGUGUGGGAAGAAUGACGCGGAACCAGAAAUAACAAGCAAUGAGUUAUAUCGAUGGAAAAACCGAUAAUUGAUGUUGGGGUGUUUGGAUAACAAGUGAGAGGGGUAUGCAAAAGGAAUAUGUUAGUGGACAGAAAAUGACAUGGGAGGUGGAUUUUAGUAAUUUCAGCUUUGAAAAAAUGAUGGAGUCUAUUUAAGAUUUAAUGGGUGUAAGGAAGAUAGUUGUUAUGCACUAUAUAGCUGUAGAUGCAUACUAGGCACAUGGUUUGAGACUAAUUUUGAAGGACUUAUUAUCCUUUAUGCUUGAAUUGGUCCAAAGAAAAAGGGUUGAAGUUGUUAUUGAGCACAAGUUCUAUAAGGAUAAAAGGGUAAUUUCAACACAGAAGUUAUUAGCUAAUGUGCGUGAUCUAAUUGUGUGGGAUUUGCCAUAUAUUGGUGAGGGUGUAGGUCAUACUGUCAAUAACAAUAAUGAUAGUAAUGAGGUGGGUGAGGGUGUUAGUGGUGCAAGCUAGGGUUUUGAGGGUUAGAUAUAGAGGAGGGUGAGGGGGAAGAUAAUAUAGAGGCUGCUGUUGAGGAGGUCGAGGGUGUUAAUGGUGUACUGCUAUGUAAUAGAAAGAUACCUACAGAGGAGGGUGGUGAAGAGGUUGACAUAGAUGUUGUUGAAGCGGGUAGGCAAUCACAGGACGAAGAUGAAGAUAUGGUUCAAUGUGAGUGGAUGUCUGGUGCUGAUGAAGAACUACAAGCUGCAAGAGAUUCAAGGAGAGACAGAAAAGAAAUCACAUCCUAUUGAGACAGAUCUAAACUCAGCAACAAACAAUAAUAGAGCUGUUGGGAAUGAAGCUGCUGUAGAGGAAGAUGGUAAUGAGACAAACUACUGGAAUUAGAUGAUGAAAACUGGGGCAUUGCAAACUCAGAUGGCAGUGACUGUAAUCAUGCAGCAAGAAAAAAAAGAGUAAAUACACAUCUUUUGACCCAAGUGUAGAGAAGGUAAAAUUCAUACUGGGAUGACAUUAAAAUUUGGUGAUCAGUUUAAAGAGGCUGUCAACACAUAUGCAAUACAAGAAAGGCAUGAGGGUGUCCUUAGAUGACAUAUGCUUCAAUGGAAUCCAGUAGAGAAGAUAUUAUGGUGAAGACAUAAAGCCAGAAUAUACAUGUUCCAUUUCAUUCAAGAAUAGGAGAUGUACUGUUAAGUGGUUAAAAAAGAAUGUUCUCCUUAAAUAUAAAGUAGUUGAGUAUAUAACUCUAACUGAUUUGAAGAAGCAAGUGAAGGAAGAUGUAUGUGUUGAAGUGAGCAUCACCAAGAUGAGGAGGGCUAAAAUGAGACAUAUUGCAAUACUCAAUGGUGAUACUAAAGGAGAAUAUGCAUUGCUGUGGGAUUAUUUAAUAGAGAUAGAUAGGUCAAAUCUAGGCACAACCCUUAGUCUUAGAGUUGAUAAACCACUACCUGAUGCAUUGCCAAUACUUGAUAAGCUGUAUAUGUGCUUUGCUGCACUGAGAAAGGGCUUUCUUGCUGGUUUUAAGAGAGUGGUUGGUCUUGAUGGGGCUUUCAUGAAGGAAAACAUAAAAGGGCAAGUUUUAACAACUAUUGGUAGAGGUGGUAAUAAUCAAUGUACCUAAUUGCAUAGGCUGUGGUAAACGUUGAAUGCAAGGAGAGUUGGCACUAGUUCAUUAACUUAUUGAAAAGAGAAUUAGGACAGAAGAUGGUGAAGGCUGGGUCUUCAUUUAUGACUAACAGAAGGUAAGAGGCAAAAAAAGGAAGGGGAAGAAAGUAGCAGAUGAUAGAGCAACUGAAGGACCUCCAUGCCCAUUUGCAGUACCUACCGUACCAGUAAAUGAUGAAGAUUUACCAUUGAGUAGCCUAAUUGUUUAUUUAUCAAGAAAGCCAUCCAAAAGGCCUAUGCGUGGAUUUGGAGUAUAUACAGGCUUCUUAACUAGAUCUGUGACAUUGAAUGUAAAUAUAUACCUAUUUAUGAAUGGAACUGAGGUUUUUGGACAAAUGUGUUUGAUGAAUGAGCUAAACAUGGGAUUUUUGGGUUUAUAUCAAUGAUGGAUGAGUCAAACUGAGAUGAUAUGAUUUGAUGUGUUGCAGCAAUGUAAAAUUUGAAAGCAAUGAGUGAAACUGAGAUGCUAUGAUUCGA